AACCGCUUUUAUGUGAUAAUUGUUAUUGAAAACAAUGAAUCAAAGCUGUUUGAUUGAAAAAAAGUUGUAAGCCAACAACCGUUUAAAAAUGUAUUUAAAGAACAUUAAAAUAUUGCUGGUUAUUGCUCCCGAUAUACAAAAAUAAAAAGUAAUACUGUGACGUGACGAAAAUUACGCAAUACUGACCACGGAUAUUCUAAAAAUGAACCUUUAAGGAGCUAAUCGAUGACGAAGAAACAAAUGAAAAUGAAACUUAAAUUUAAAGCAUAAAGAAAAAUGAAGAAGUGUAUAAAUUGUUGAUACAAUUAUUUCUUUCAUCAUUCAACCACGGAAGAGCAUCCUUAGCACUUUCAAACAAAUUUUAAAAUCAAAACACUUUUUCGAAAAUUUCAAAAUGAAUUUUAAGAUAAUAUUUUGUGUCGUGGCGAGCAUUUUGUUGAGUUUUUCAGCUUUGGUUGAUUCUCAAGUUCUAAUUCCAGGAAUCAAGACAACGGCCAUUGGUGUAUUAACGAAUUCAAAUGGAAACCCUAAAAUAGAAGUUGUACGAUCAACGGUAACAGCUCGACCUAUUCAACUUUAAGAAUAGGUUCACAAUAGUAAAUUAAAAUAACCUAAUAUAUGUAUAUUUUUAUGUAAUUAAAUAUUUAUAUGUAAAAUAAA